UAAACGGCGGCCGUAACUAUAACGGUCCUAAGGUAGCGAAAUUCCUUGUCGGGUAAGUUCCGACCUGCACGAAUGGCAUAAUGAUGGCCAGGCUGUCUCCACCCGAGACUCAGUGAAAUUGAAAUCGCCGUGAAGAUGCGGUGUACCCGCGGCUAGACGGAAAGACCCCGUGAACCUUUACUAUAGCUUGACACUGAACAUUGAAUUUUGAUGUGUAGGAUAGGUGGGAGACUUUGAAGUAGUCACGCCAGUGAUUAUGGAGUCGUCCUUGAAAUACCACCCUUUAACGUUUGAUGUUCUAACGAAGAUUACGAAACGUGGUCUCGGACAGUGUCUGGUGGGUAGUUUGACUGGGGCGGUCUCCUCCCAAAGAGUAACGGAGGAGCACGAAGGUUUGCUAAUGACGGUCGGACAUCGUCAGGUUAGUGCAAUGGUAUAAGCAAGCUUAACUGCGAGACAGACAAGUCGAGCAGGUACGAAAGUAGGUCAUAGUGAUCCGGUGGUUCUGAAUGGAAGGGCCAUCGCUCAACGGAUAAAAGGUACUCCGGGGAUAACAGGCUGAUACCGCCCAAGAGUUCAUAUCGACGGCGGUGUUUGGCACCUCGAUGUCGGCUCAUCACAUCCUGGGGCUGAAGUAGGUCCCAAGGGUAUGGCUGUUCGCCAUUUAAAGUGGUACGCGAGCUGGGUUUAGAACGUCGUGAGACAGUUCGGUCCCUAUCUGCCGUGGGCGCUGGAGAACUGAGGGGGGCUGCUCCUAGUACGAGAGGACCGGAGUGGACGCAUCACUGGUGUUCGGGUUGUCAUGCCAAUGGCACUGCCCGGUAGCUAAAUGCGGAAGAGAUAAGUGCUGAAAGCAUCUAAGCACGAAACUUGCCCCGAGAUGAGUUCUCCCUGACUCCUUGAGAGUCCUGAAGGAACGUUGAAGACGACGACGUUGAUAGGCCGGGUGUGUAAGCGCAGCGAUGCGUUGAGCUAACCGGUACUAAUGAACCGUGAGGCUUAACCUU
rnacentral:rRNA from 1 species